AUGCAAGUCGAGCGAAUGGAUUAAGAGCUUGCUCUUAUGAAGUUAGCGGCGGACGGGUGAGUAACACGUGGGUAACCUGCCCAUAAGACUGGGAUAACUCCGGGAAACCGGGGCUAAUACCGGAUAACAUUUUGAACCGCAUGGUUCGAAAUUGAAAGGCGGCUUCGGCUGUCACUUAUGGAUGGACCCGCGUCGCAUUAGCUAGUUGGUGAGGUAACGGCUCACCAAGGCAACGAUGCGUAGCCGACCUGAGAGGGUGAUCGGCCACACUGGGACUGAGACACGGCCCAGACUCCUACGGGAGGCAGCAGUAGGGAAUCUUCCGCAAUGGACGAAAGUCUGACGGAGCAACGCCGCGUGAGUGAUGAAGGCUUUCGGGUCGUAAAACUCUGUUGUUAGGGAAGAACAAGUGCUAGUUGAAUAAGCUGGCACCUUGACGGUACCUAACCAGAAAGCCACGGCUAACUACGUGCCAGCAGCCGCGGUAAUACGUAGGUGGCAAGCGUUAUCCGGAAUUAUUGGGCGUAAAGCGCGCGCCAGGUGGUUUCUUAAGUCUGAUGUGAAAGCCCACCGGCUCAACCGUGGAGGGUCAUUGGAAACUGGGAGGACUUGAGUGCAGAAGAAGGAAAGUGGAAUUCCAUGUGUUAGCGGUGAAAUGCGUAGAGAUAUGGAGGAACACCAGUGGGCGAAGGCGACUUUUUGGUUUGUUACUUACACUGAGGCGCGAAAGCGUGGGGAGCCAACCAGAUUAGAUUCCCUGGUAAUUCCACGGCGUUAAAGAUGAAUGCUAAGUGGUAGAAGGUUUUCGCCCUUUAGUUCUGAAAGUUAACGCCUUAAACAAUUCGCCUGGGGAAUUCCGGCGCAAAGGUGAAACUUAAAAGAAUUGGCGGGGGCCCGCCCCAGCGGUGGAGCCUGGGGUUUAAUUUGGAGCAACGCGAAGAACCUUACCCGGUUCUGACCUUCUUUGACAACCCUAGAGAUAGGGGUUUUCCUUUGGGAGCCGAAUGACCGGUGGGGCAAGGUUGUUGUUAAGUUGGGUUGUGAGAAGGUGGGUUAAGUUCCGCAACGAGGGCAACCCCUGAUUUUAGUUUCCAUCCAUAAAUUGGGCCAUUUAAGGGGAAUGCCGGGGGCAAACCGGGGGAAGGGGGGGGAGGAGUUAAAUUAUCCUGCCCCUUAUGACCUGGGGUACCCACCUGGUUCAAUGGACGGUACAAAGAAGUGCAAGGCCCGGAGGGGGAGGUAAUUUUAUAAAACCGUUUUCAGUUUGGAUUGUUGGGUGCAAAUUGCCUACCAGAAAGCGGAAUUGGUUGUUAUCGGGGAUCAGCCAGCCGCGGGGAAUAAGUUUCCGGGCCUUGUACACCCCCCCCGUCCCCCCCCGAGAAUUUGUAACCCCCGAAGUUGGUGGGGUAACCUUUUGGAGCC
rnacentral:rRNA from 1 species